UUUCUCCUUCUUCCCGAUGAGAUAGUUCUAUGCCCGUGCGCAUGCGCGAGAAAACCCCUGGUUGAGCGAUGGUGCUUUGACAUCUGAGAAGCUCGCAGGAGGAUCCCAUCACUGCCUGUUAAAUACAGUGGUGAUCAGGACCUCUCCUUAGGUCUGGAGACUCUAAGCUGGGAGUCUUGAGAUAACAUCCAAAAAUCAAGAUUGUCAACCCAAGCAAUGGUGGAGGUCGAAAGUCUGUGUCAUUGUCAUUUUGUGGAUUUAAAAACAAAGAAGUUUUGGACUCUAGAUUAUAACUAAACUAAAAGUUGAUGAAGGCAAAAACGUUUGACAUCACAUGGCAAAAAUGUCAUAAGAUAUAUUUUGCUGUGAUUUGAUGCUGUAGUCAUGUUUUAAAAGCUAAGUCAAUUGAAAAUAUUUCAUUACUCCCAAAAGGAAAUGAACCAACCCCAACAGAACCACACAGUAAAAUAAAAAAAGAUGUAAUAUCACAUGUACGGAAAUGAAAUAAAUUUGUAGGUGAGAUUUAAUCAUUUCUGGCUCACUGUCUCCCUAAUCAGUCAAAACAAUUAAUUAUAAGGAAAAAGAAACUGGUAUUAUUGCUAGGUGCAUGUUUUUUUUCACACUUAUAUCACAGAAGUAGGUUUGCGCAAAAUGGUGUUGGGGUGAACUAACCCAAAGAUAUUAGCAAUGACGAUAAUCACUGUAGGACAACAAGGACAGCAUCUCCAGAAGAAACUCUUGACAUUGAAACAUGAAUCCCCCUUUUACCCAGUUUGUUUUGCUCACAUAUAGUAUGUGACCUAAUUAAUAAUAUGUGUUGCGGAAUAAGUGAGAAAGUAUCAGGCUUGGUGUUUGCUAUAGCAUUUCUGACGCCUUAACAGUUGAGUUAUUAUUGCUGUAACGUCAAUGCAUUGUGCACAUACGGAGUAGUCGUAGUACUGAAUAAUGCUUAAGCUCAUCUGACCUGCAAGUGGAGGCAGUCACAGUUCACUGACAUUUAUAGGAGAAGUGACGCAAACAGAACAUGUCGUUCUAGUCCACCACAUAGUUGCCGCCCGUCUGACUCCUCCUCAACAAAAGGAGGCUUUUUAAAAAUGCUACCUGGGAGGCAUUUUGCUGCCGGUGUUUGGUCAGCACAAAGAAAAGCAGGCAACAAUCUCAUAACAGGGUAAUCUUUUUAUUCAACAUUAGUACCAAAAACCUUAAAAUGCCUGUGAGACUACCUCUGCUGCACAUUCAGAGGGUACAACACAGUUGUCCCAGAAUUCAUCUCCAAGCCCUGAUAAAGAUAACAGUGAGGAUUUUCAAAGGUCCAACACUUAGGUCUAUAAUAGUAUGUGGAAAAUCAAAUGGUCACGAUUAUUAAGUUCUG